rnacentral:lncRNA from 1 species
UGUCCCGAUUCUGAAUUCAGGCUCAGAUUCAUUUAUUUUGACUGUAAAAUUCUCCUCAUCAGUGCUCACAAAGAGAGAUGACAGUAACUGCCUUCAGAGUCUGCACUGCAAGAAGACGAAGCAGUGGCAUGCAAAGCUAAUCCCAUUGGCCCCUACAUGCAGAAACUCAACAGGAAAUCCCAAGACAAAGCAUUAAGCCCUUGGCAGACUUAAUUUUCUCUGAUACAGCAAUGCCGAAGGCCAAGUGAUGAAAUCUUCAGCAAGAAUAUGUCAUCAUAUUGUUUCUGCCUAGUAAUAUAAUCGGUGUCACACCGUCUAGAAGAAUGAAUUGCUGAAAAUUUAUUUGCGUAAGAAACAGCAAAAAAAAAAAUACAAUGAAAUAAAAUAAAAACAAUUGUGUUAGUGACUUUUGAUGCUUACUUAUAGUGUGUUACUCUUUUCUUCAUGCCAUCAUGGGAGACAUCAUAUUUCCUGAACGUUGCCAUUAGGCUAGACUACGAAACCAGUCCCUGGAAAAUAUUGUGAGAAGUGAUAUUCUAACCUGCUCUUCCAGCCUACAGCAUUUAAUUGCUGCUGCGCUCUGCAUCUUGUGUGGCUGCUUUAAACCUCCAAAGCUGCACCUGGAAACUCUUUUCUCCAUCACACUUCUAACGGUGUUCCAGUAAUGUUCCCUCGCCCCUUCAUCUAAGAAGUGGCCAAUGUUGCCAGAGCCAGGAAGAAAAAGAGGCCAGGUGUCAAAAGUGCUCGCAUUGCAUGUCCAAAUCAUGAAGUCUCUUGAACUCCGACAGGUUAAGAAAAGACAGCCUGCCUUCAUACCAUCAGCUUUCCUUAUUAACUUUGACCUCAGCCCUUUCUCAGUCAGCUGCUUACACAUGCAUUUCAUACAGGAGAGUUGA